AUGAACGUCAAGUCAUCAUGGCCUUACGGCCUGGGCUACACACGUGCUACAAUAGGUCGGUACAAAGGGUUGCCAAGCCGCGAGGUGGAGCUAAUCCCAUAAAACCGAUCGUAGUCCGGAUCGCAGUCUGCAACUCGACUGCGUGAAGUCGGAAUCGCUAGUAAUCGUGAAUCAGAAUGUCACGGUGAAUACGUUCCCGGGCCUU
rnacentral:rRNA from 1 species